AGUGAACGCUGGCGGUAGGCCUAACACAUGCAAGUCGAACGGCAGCACAGUAAGAGCUUGCUCUUACGGGUGGCGAGUGGCGGACGGGUGAGGAAUACAUCGGAAUCUACUUUUUCGUGGGGGAUAACGUAGGGAAACUUACGCUAAUACCGCAUACGACCUACGGGUGAAAGCAGGGGAUCUUCGGACCUUGCGCGAUCGAAUGAGCCGAUGUCGGAUUAGCUAGUUGGCGGGGUAAAGGCCCACCAAGGCGACGAUCCGUAGCUGAUCUGAGAGGAUGAUCAGCCACACUGGAACUGAGCCACGGUCCAGGCUCCUACGGGGAGCAGCAGUAGGGAAGCUUGAACAAAGGGGGCAAGGCUGAGUCAGCCAUACAGCGUUGGUGAAGAAGGCCUUCGGGUUGUAAAGCCCUUUUGUUGGGAAAGAAAAGAAGCAGGUUAAUGCCGCGCUGUUCUGACGGUACCCAAAGAAUAAGCACCGGCUAACUUCGUG
rnacentral:rRNA from 1 species